GAAUUCAUGUUAUAUUUUCGAGUGUUUUGCAUAAUAAAAAUCUUAAACUAUAGGCGAGUAACACUCCAAAAGACGCUCAGGUGAAGGUGACGGUGCCGGUGCAGGUGCAGGUGCCGGUGCCCAACUCAUACGCAAAUUCAAUUCCUUUAGAACCACUCGAACCUCUCAUAAGUCAUACGCAAAUUCGUCACUCAUACGCUAAUUGCCUAAUUCCAAAGCUCGAAUUGCAGAAGCUCGUUCCAGCAUUUGGUACAGUAUUAUUCACAGGGUCAAGA